UUUGCCUUUCUGUGCCCUUCCAGAGGCCCCAAGUCAUGUGAUACUUUGGGUGCCAAGAAGCCCUUUGUCACCAGGCUUCUCCUUAAUUUCAUUCUCUUCAUGCCUUCUAGAAAGCUUACCCUCACAACUGGCUUAAGAUAUUUUGUUACGUGAGGAGAAUUCCACAUACACCAAGAUCAUCAGAAGUUGGACCUGGAUGGAAAGGGUCUCAGGAGGAGGAAGGCCUGCAGUUCAGCCUCUAUGGUGAGAGACCAAAAUGGAGGCACCGAGUGAGAGGUAAGAAGAAGAAAAUGGAUCUCAGCUUAUGACAGGAGUGUGCCAGCAGCACCAUAAUCACGUGAUUUGUGAUGCAUCUGGUCCUGCACAAAGUGAACCAAAACGGGUCUUUGGAUUGACCAUACCCUUGUAUGUGUAACAUGCAUUUUGUGAUCACUCUCACCACCUUCGAGUAUCAGCAGUAAUCCAAUGAACUGUGAAGAUGCAGCAUCAAAGAACGGAAAGUGAGCGUCCACUGAUCCCUACGGAGAGAAAGAAAGCAUUUGAGAAGCCACAUCCAUUUUAAGCACAGGUUGCUUUGAUGUCUUACGCCUUCUGGGAGGUGCCUGCGUUUUCAAAGAGUCAGAACAAGAAGAGGACAGAUAAAGAUUGCUUUCCUAUUGAGGAAACUCCUGGCACCACAGGGCAGGCUCUAUGAGGAGGGAGAUCCUUUGCAGAGUAACCCCUGCCCUAAUGAAAGAAUAAUCAUGGAAGGCAUUUGUGUAGAGAUUCCCAGUUUACACAACAAUCUCACCUCUGCUUCCUCAUCGAAUCAGCACAAGCCACCUGUGGAUGAAGUGCGACUGUUUUACCAUCUGCAUUUUCAAGAUGAGGACACAGAGGUCCUGGGUGGCUCCCUGACUUGCCUCAGUUGGCAGAGUUAGGCCCUGACUCCAGUCCUGGGCUCUUUCCCUAGGACAGCUCUGCUGCCUCCUCCCAUUUGGGAAGCCAGUCCUGCUGAUUACUCAAGGCGCAGGCGUUUGAACACCGCCUUUGCAGAAAUGGCACAAGCAAGACGGCUGGUUUUUCUGACUUUUUCUCCUUGGGAAUAAAGGAAUGGUUGUAGCAGAACCGUCAGCUCUCAAUGCGCUCUUUGUUUAGGUAAAUUCCAGAGUUUUUAUGAACGAUGAUUCCAGUGAGAGCUGCUUUUCCCCCCUGGUAGUUAUGGUCAAAAGGUUGAAGUUUCAGCCGUGCCUGGUAUUUCUCCAGAAAACUCUUGGCCAUAUGCACUUUGAGUUUCAGACCCCCGGAUCAGUGAGCAUGAAAGAUUGCUGCAAAGAUAUGAGAAGCUCCAGACUAAGCAAGUACUACAGAAGAAAUCUUUAUUUUUAAUGGGUAAUUUUUUUCCUUGUCGAAAUCUUCAGUGACACAAUUUUUUAAAGCACAAAAAAGUAAACAUGAAAGUUAUUAAUUGCUGGGGGAAAAGACUGUCUUUUUUCAAUCGUAUUUACAUAGAGCCAAGUUGUCUGAUUUUGCUAAUACACUCAUACUAAGACUAGCCGGUGUGAUAGCAGACGUUAUAAGCUCUCAGUACAUACGUAUUUACUGAAUGAAUGAAUGUCCUUUAAUUUGGGGCCAAGAAAUCCUCCAACAGAAGGAACAAGAUAACUACCUCUGGGAUUGUCCUUCAUUAUUGCUGACUCCUGGGCAAUACCAGCAAACAAUGAUGAGGUUAUUGUUUACCACUGUCAGGGAGAUCACCACCUUGACCUAGCCUUAGUAGCAUCUCCAAGGGGGAAGAGCCAAAAUGGGACAUUUAUGAGGUUUGGAAUCUGCUUUAAGGCAGGUUUUUUUAAUACAGGAACUGUGUUUCAUAGAGUUUUCAAUGGCUGUUUUUUUCUUUUUUUCUGGAAGUAGAUCACCAGGCCUUUCUCCCAAGACACCUCUAGAUAGACUCGAACUUCCAAUUUUUGGGUUAGCAGCCAAGUGCAUUAACUAUUUGCACCAUUCAGCAACCUGUUCUCUGACACACAUCGGUUGCCAUAAGUCAGAGUCAACUCAUUGGCAGCUGGCUGGUUGGUUCAAUGCAGGUGUUUGAUUACAGUUGGGCAAGGAUAGUGAUAUAACAGUUUAGAAUUAGGGGAUACAGCAAGACGAACGUUUUGAGAAAAGAGUUUUUUAAGUCUUGGAAAACAAUUAUGUGAUCAGUGGCAUCACUAGGAGCUGCAGAGAGUAAGGAUCACACCAGGUAAUGCUGUCAGAAGGGGUGACACCAAAAUGACUAUAAGAUUUUUGUGCAGUGUUUCAGCAGAUAUUUAUUAUUUUUAAUAAAAAUAUCCCUGUAGUUAUAACAACAAAAACAUUUUUCUGAAGGCCAACUUACAUGUAUUAAUACACUUACAAGGCUAAAACUCUAUGCUAAUUUACUUUUUGAACAAACGAAGCUUUGGUGGUACAGUAGUUAGGCGUUAAAGCUGCUAACAGAAGGUCGGCACUUUGAAUCCCCCAGCUGCACCUUGGGAACCCUAUGGGGCUGUUCUAAUCUGUCCUAUAAGGUCGCUAUGAGUCCGGAACCGACUCAAAGGCAACGGGUUUGGUUUCUUUGGAAAGUGCUCCAGACAAAGCUGUGAUUACUACCUAAUUACAAUGAUGCCUGAAAUCACGUGGUUUUAUUUGCACACACUACAAGCAUGCCACUGUUGUCCUCUUUGCUACCUAUGUUUUUAUAGUCAGUGAUUUUGUCAAAUUUUCUGGCGUUUUAGCCACAAUAUUGUAUUAAUUAUUAUUUGGGGACCUAUAUCAAUAAUUUUUUUCUGAGAACGAAGUAGUAAUUAAAGGAAAAGAAGGAGUGGUAUAUGGAAAUUACGAUUAUGGGUAACAUUAGUACAAAAAACGUCACUAAGAAUUCUGUGUGGUUUGGUAGGGGAAGAGGUCCAUGGGGGGGUGACACCAUGAGUUACCACACUGAGUGACACCAACCCUAGUGACGCCACUGUAUGUGAUGCUGAGUUUUUCCAAAGUGAUUUGCAACUUUUAUUACCCUGAACAACUUUUAUUACCCUGGACUCAAAAAGUCACGGUGAUGACAACGAUGGAAUAAUCAGAUCAAAUAACUGAAUAUAGCCAAGUAGUACAUUCAUAUCAGUGCAGACCAGGGGAUGGCAAGCUGGAGUCCAAAGGCCGUUUCCAACUUGUGGCCUGUGUUUGUAAAUAAAACUUUAUUGGAACACAAUCAUUCUCAUUCCUUUAAGUGUUAUCUGAGGGUGCUUUCAUACUACAAAGGUAGAGUUGAGUAGUUGUGAAGAGAAAUUCUACUCUGUCCUAUAGGGUUGUUAUGAGUGGGAAUUGACUCAAUGGCAAGGGAUUUAUUUUUGGGGGGUUUAAAAAAAUUUUUUUUUUUUUUAAAGCCUAAAAUAUUUCCUAUCUGAUUAGCACUUUACAGAAAAAAUUUGCCAACCCCUGAUGUACAUGCUAAGCUGUGUGGAGUUAGGUGGUUUCAUUUCUCAUGUAUUUAUCCAUUCACAAGUACUUGCUAAGCACCUACUGUUUGCAAGGCAAUUUUCUAGGUGUUGAGAAUACAGCAUUCAACAAGGCACACAUCUGCUCUCAUGGAAACAAACCAAUAAAUAAUACAGAGCAGGUAGAGCUAAGUGCUAUGAAGAAAAAUUAGGCGUGGAAAAAGCAUAGGUAGGUACAGGGUUGGUGCAGGGGAGCUGUUUGGGAAGUAUAGUCAAAGAAGGCCUCUCUGAAGAGUUGACCUUUAAGUGAAAGCUAUGUGAAUGUGAACAGGAAGCAAAUGACGACGUGGAGACAGAAUGCAGACUUCGAGAAGAGCUUUCCAGGCAGAGGAAGAGAAAUGCAAAAAUCCAGAGGCUGGAACGACACAAGGUGUUGAUAAUAACAAGCAGGCCGGUGCAGCCAGAGCAAAGGGAGUAAAUGGCAGAGUAGAGAGAGCUGAAACUGGAGAGGUAGCAAGGGCCACUGUAGCCACAGAGCCUGAUGGGCGGUGGCAGUGUUUGAAUUCUAUUCUGAAUGUGAUGGAGGGUUUUAAGUGAGAAAGUGACAGGGUAUGAUUUACAUUUUAAAGCUUCACUCUGGCUGUCAUGUAGAGAAUUGAGGGUAGAAGGACAAAGUGGUUGCAGGGAUGCUACCACAGGAGAAAAACCAUGCUGAGUUUACGCAGCAGGAUUAGUGGGUGGUGGGUGCCCAUUGGUGAGACUCGGAUGGAUUUUAAAGGCAUGGCUACUAAGACCUGCUAGUGAGUUUUAUGUGGGGCAGGAAAGACAGGAGUCAGGAAGGUUUUUCAUUUAAAUGCCUGGGUGAAUAGUGAUACCAUCUACUCAGGUGGGGAAGCCUGGGAGGCAAGCAACUGUGAAAUCAAGAGUUCAU